UCCUACGGGAGGCAGCAGUGGGGAAUAUUGCGCAAUGGACGAAAGUCUGACGCAGCGACGCCGCGUGGAGGAUGAAGGUUUUCGGAUCGUAAACUCCUGUCAAGAGGGAAGAAACCUAUCAUGAAUAAUACUCAUGGUAAUUGACGGUACCUCUAGAGGAAGCACCGGCUAAUUCAGUGCCAGCAGCCGCGGUAAUACUGAAGGUGCAAGCGUUAAUCGGAAUCACUGGGCGUAAAGCGCUCGUAGGUGGCUUUGUAAGUCAGGUGUGAAAGCCCACGGCUCAACCGUGGAAUUGCACUUGAUACUGCAUCGCUAGAGUAUAGGAGAGGGAAGUGGAAUUUCUGGUGUAGGAGUGAAAUCCGUAGAGAUCAGAAGGAACACCCGUGGCGAAGGCGACUUCCUGGACUAUUACUGACACUGAGGAGCGAAAGCGUGGGGAGCAAACAGGAUUAGAUACCCUGGUAGUCCACGCCGUAAACGAUGGGUACUAGGUGUUGGGGGCUUGACCCUCGGUGCCGUAGUUAACGCGUUAAGUACCCCGCCUGGGGAGUACGGUCGCAAGGCUGAAACUCAAAGAAAUUGACGGGGGCCCGCACAAGCGGUGGAGUAUGUGGUUUAAUUCGAUGCAACGCGAAGAACCUUACCCAGGCUUGACAUCCUGCGAAUGCCCAAGAAAUUAUGCAGUGCCCUUCUGGGAAUGCAGUGACAGGUGCUGCAUGGCUGUCAUCACUCAUGCCGUGAGGUGUUGGGUUAAUUCCCGCACGAG
rnacentral:rRNA from 1 species